GGGCAGGUGUAGCAGUCGGGUGGGGACCCCGCCUAUUGUCUGAAGUAUCGGCUCAUUUGUAAUUCCUUGAGAAGGCAAAAGCCCUGAAGGGUCUCAUUUAAAUUGGCUGGAGACAUACCUUUCUUUUUGGAAACACCCAUCCUAUAUAAGACACACUCAGAGCCUGAAACCCUUAGCCAUUUACCCGUCAAGAUUCGCUGCGGAGCACACCAUUUUCUUUGAGAUCAUCAAAACUAACAUCGUUCUUUAUAACAUGGACAUCGUAAACGCUUAAUUUUUAGGAGUUCGGGAGAACGGCGCAGGACCGAGUUCUCUAACAAGCACAAGGGUUAACAAACUGAGUAGGAAAACAUUCAGACACAGAGACCACAGAGCCCAACCUUACAACAGAGCCACGCCAGAGAACCGUGUGUGUGGAGAAGCAGGACCGUCCGGAAUAACGCACACUACAAGACUGCAGAACAGUACCCCUCCUCAUAAUGAUCAGGACACCGUACGAUCCCUGACGAUUUUGGAACGUUUAAGCAGUAUCGACCUCCCAGAACAACAAAAACCUGGAGCUUUGUACAACAGCGGAGAGUCAGAACCGAUCUUCAUCAGCGGACCUGCAACA